CCUACGGGUGACAGCAGUGAGGAAUAUUGGUCAAUGGCCGGAAGGCUGAACCAGCCAUGCCGCGUGAAGGUCAGUGCCCUAUGGGCGUUAAACUUCUUUUGUGCGGGAGCAAUAAUGGUCACGUGUGGCCAGACGAGAGUACCGUACGAAUAAGCAUCGGCUAACUCCGUGCCAGCAGCCGCGGUAAUACUGGGGAUGCAAGCGUUAUCCGGAUUUAUUGGGGUUAAAGGGUGCGUAGGCUGUGAGGUAAGUCAGCGGUGAAAUGCCCCCGCUCAACGGGGUGAAGUGCCAUUGAUACUGCCUUGCUGGAAUGCGGAUGCCGUGGGAGGAAGGUGUGGUGUAGCGGUGAAAUGCAUAGAUAUCACACAGAACACCGAUUGCGAAGGCAUCUCACGAAUCCGCGAUUGACGCUGAUGCACGAAAGCGUGGGUAUCAAACAGGAUUAGAUACCCCUGUAGUC
rnacentral:rRNA from 1 species